UGGGGGAUAUUGCACAAUGGGGGGAAACCCUGAUGCAGCGACGCCGCGUGAGUGAAGACGGCCUUCGGGUUGUAAAGCUCUGUCAAUCGGGACGAAGAAGAUGACGGUACCGAUGAAGGAAGCUCCGGCUAACUACGUGCC
rnacentral:rRNA from 1 species